rnacentral:rRNA from 1 species
AUUGAACGCUGGCGGCAUGCUUUACACAUGCAAGUCGAGCGGCAGCGCGGGGGCAACCCUGGCGGCGAGCGGCGAACGGGUGAGUAAUGCAUCGGAACGUAUCCUCGAGUGGGGGAUAACCCAGCGAAAGUUGGGCUAAUACCGCAUGAGCUCUGAGGAGGGAAGCGGGGGACCUGCGAGGGCCUCGCGCUGGAGGAGCGGCCGAUGUCCGAUUAGCUAGUUGGUGGGGUAAAGGCUUACCAAGGCGACGAUCGGUAGCUGGUCUGAGAGGAUGAUCAGCCACACUGGGACUGAGACACGGCCCAGACUCCUACGGGAGGCAGCAGUGGGGAAUUUUGGACAAUGGGGGCAACCCUGAUCCAGCCAUGCCGCGUGAGUGAAGAAGGCCUUCGGGUUGUAAAGCUCUUUCGGACGGAACGAAAUGGGCGGGACUAAUACUCCUGUCUGAUGACGGUACCGUAAGAAGAAGCACCGGCUAACUACGUG